GACGAACGCUGGCGGCGUGCCUAAUACAUGCAAGUUGAGCGCUGAAGGUUGGUACUUGUACCAACUGGAUGAGCAGCGAACGGGUGAGUAACGCGUGGGGAAUCUGCCUUUGAGCGGGGGACAACAUUUGGAAACGAAUGCUAAUACCGCAUAAAAACUUUAAACACAAGUUUUAAGUUUGAAAGAUGCAAUUGCAUCACUCAAAGAUGAUCCCGCGUUGUAUUAGCUAGUUGGUGAGGUAAAGGCUCACCAAGGCGAUGAUUCAUAGCCGACCUGAGAGGGUGAUCGGCCACAUUGGGACUGAGACACGGCCCAAACUCCUACGGGAGGCAGCAGUAGGGAAUCUUCGGCAAUAGACGAAAGUCUGACCGAGCAACGCCGCGUGAGUGAAGAAGGUUUUCGGAUCGUAAAACUCUGUUGGUAGAGAAGAACGUUGGUGAGAGUGGAAAGCUCAUCAAGUGACGGUAACUACCCAGAAAGGGACGGCUAACUACGUG
rnacentral:rRNA from 1 species